rnacentral:rRNA from 1 species
UACGGGGGGGGCAAGCGUUGUUCGGAAUUACUGGGCGUAAAGCGCGUGUAGGUGGCGAGGCAAGUCGGGUGUGAAAGCCCUGGGCUCAACCCAGGAAGUGCACUCGAUACUGCCUAGCUAGAGUCCCGGAGAGGUUGGUGGAACUCUCGGUGUAGAGGUGAAAUUCGUAGAUAUCGAGAAGAACACCGGUGGCGAAGGCGGCCAACUGGACGGUGACUGACACUGAGACGCGAAAGCGUGGGGAGCAAACAGG